AAACUGCGAUAAGUAGUGUGAAUUGCAUUUAGUGAAUCAUCGAAUCUUUGAACGCACCCUGCACUCACUGGUAUUCCGGUGAGUACGCCUGUUUCAGUAUCAUUGAAAACACACAAUCAAAACAUUUUCUUUGGUUUGAUUGGCUUUGGGUCUAUCAAAAAGUUUGGCUUGUUUCUUACAAGCCAAGCGGCCUGAAAUAUAUUGUCUGGCUAAUUGCAUCGUUGAUGAUCGCUAUUAGACUUUGGCUUUUUUAAAUGAACUGGAGGUUGAUUAACCAGUUUUAGCUUUAGUCAAAUGGUCAUUGUAAAAAAAAUCUCGAUCUUGGCUAGGUGUUUAUAGCCGAAAAUUUUUUUUUGGCUAUAACCGAAACCAAUAUAAUCACAUUUAGUUAUCGAUCUGAAAUCAGGUGGGACUACCCGCUGAACUUAAGA
rnacentral:misc_RNA from 1 species